CACACACACACACACACACACCAACCAGCCGCUCAGGUGCCCUCCUCCUCAAGGGCACCAUUUAUAUCCUCCCAUGAUCCUUCACUUCACCCAAGCCAACCAUGAAGUAGGUCAUCCAAUUAAAACAAAACAGAAAAACUCCCUCCCAAUUGGCUAGCUGUGUUAAACGAGCUGAAUGCAUUCAUUAAGUUAUGGGUCGUUAAGAGUGUAAUUGGAAUGUGUGACUCCUCCCAUUGGUGAGGUGACCCUAGGGCCAUAGCUAUAUUGUUACAUCAGGUUUUAAUCAGUCCCUCCUGUUCUCCAUGUGUCUAUAUCUAGACUAGGUGCACUACUUUAGACCAGGGCCCAUAAGGCAGGUCUAUAUGUGUCUAUAGUUGGACUAGGUGCACUACUUUAGACCAGGGCCCAUAAGGCAGGUCUAUAUGUGUCUAUAGUUGGACUAGGUGCACUACUUUAGACCAGGGCCCAUAAGGCAGGUCUAUAUGUGUCUAUAGUUGGAUUAGAUGCACUACUUUAGACCAGGGCCCAUAAGGCAGGUCUAUAUGUGUCUAUAGUUGGAUUAGAUGCACUACUUUAGACCAGGGCCCAUAAGACAGGUCUAUAUGUGUCUAUAGUUGGAUUAGGUGCACUACUUUAGACCAGGGCCCAUAAGGCAGGUCUAUAUGUGUCUAUAGUUGGAUUAGGUGCACUACUUUAGACCAGGGCCCAUAAGGCAGGUCUAUAUGUGUCUAUAGUUGGAUUAGGUGCACUACUUUAGACCAGGGCCCAUAAGGCAGGUCUAUAUGUGUCUAUAGUUGGAUUAGGUGCACUACUUUAGACCAGGGCCCAUAAGGCAGGUCUAUAUGUGUCUAUAGUUGGACUAGGUGCACUACUUUAGACCAGGGCCCAUAAGGCAGGUCUAUAUGUGUCUAUAGUUGGAUUAGGUGCACUACUUUAGACCAGGGCCCAUAA